rnacentral:rRNA from 1 species
AUUGAACGCUGGCGGCAGGCUUAACACAUGCAAGUCGAGCGGGGUGAUGGUGCUUGCACUAUCACUUAGCGGCGGACGGGUGAGUAAUGCUUAGGAAUCUGCCUAUUAGUGGGGGACAACAUCUCGAAAGGGAUGCUAAUACCGCAUACGUCCUACGGGAGAAAGCAGGGGAUCACUUAUGACCUUGCGCUAAUAGAUGAGCCUAAGUCGGAUUAGCUAGUUGGUGGGGUAAAGGCCUACCAAGGCGACGAUCUGUAGCGGGUCUGAGAGGAUCAUCUGCCACACUGGGACUGGGGAACGGCCCAUACUCCUAAGGGAGGCAGCAGUGAGGAAUAUUGGAAAAUGGGGGGAACCCUGAUCCAGCCAUGCCGCGUGUGUGAAGAAGGCCUUAUGGUUGUAAAGCACUUUAAGCGAGGAGGAGGCUCUUUUGGUUAAUACCCAAGAUGAGUGGACGUUACUCGCAGAAUAAGCACCGGCUAACUCUGUGCCAGCCGCCGCCGUAA